AUCAGGGUUCGUCUUCACACUCCUGCUGUGAAGGCGAGGCAUGCGUCGUGUGGGAGACUCGCCACUUGAAGGCGAGGCAGAUUUCCGAGAAUACCUGCUUGUUGUAGGUUGGAUUCCCGGAUCUACGUUGCACUUGCGGUCCGAAUCGAUCCCUUCGUGUGGUUUUUUGGAGUAGAUCUUCAGUUCGUCGGUUUGCAGGAAGCAAAUUUCCAUGAAGACAAUUCAGGACAUCAUUAAAAGAUUCUCAAAUAUAUUUGGACGUGUGGAGGCAGUGUGUGUACAAACUCAUAUUCGUGUCUAUGGAAUAUCGUAGCCGCACACAGCCUUAAUGAUUCAGCUUUGAUGUUAGCUGUUGGUUUACAUUAUGCCGUCCAAUAAAGGUAGUCGACGUAAUAAACGCCCUGCGAAGCACAAAGCUCGGCAGUCGCUGUCGCUUAAAGAACGUGCUUCCGACUUAUCUGACUCCUCUGACCAGGUUUUUGAGGAAAUAACAGCUUUGUCUGCAAUCUUUCAGGAAGAUUUCAAACUUCUGUCUGAGAAGCCUGUUGCAGAGUUUUCCAUACAACUCCGACCACAUUCAGUCGAUCAGGAUGAUGACGAGGAUGUGUCUGCAGAGCUGGUUGUCAGGUGUUUGCCCGGAUAUCCGAAUAAGCCACCCAAGCUGAACGUGAUUGCAAGGAAAGGACUUUCAAGUGAGCAAUCGCACCGUCUUCAUUCUUUGCUUGUAGAGCAGGCCGCAUCAUUAGCGAGAGAAGGUCGUGUAAUGAUCUUCAAUUUGACGGAGGCUGGCCAAGAAUAUUUAUCUGAAAAUCGAUCGAUCAAGUCAUCCCUUCAUAAUAGUCAAGAGAUCUCAUCGGAGGAGAAUUCGACCCAGUCGACGGUUGAAAUAGUCUCUAAGGAUGCUCUUACAACAUCGAUAGAAGCAGAAGAUAAUGGAAGACUCUCAGAGGACUUUGUGUUCUUUGACCUUUUUGGCAGCAACUGGGUUGAGAAUGACAAUCAUUGGGACGAAGGUCUUGAUUCUACACCCACUAAGAUCAGUACUCAGACAAAAGCAGCUGAAAGGGUGGAAAGAAAACUGGGAAGAAAAAAUAAAGAUGCCAAGGCUCGUCGUGUAGAUGGUGAAGACAGGGAUGAUAUUGGGUUGAUCAAAGCCAGAACACUUAAAGGACCUUUACAUAGUGAAGUUGCUUUUAAACAGCAGGACAAUGAGUUGGCUUUACAACUUCCUAAAGACAAUCACUCCAAGACUGUGUCAGACAUUCUGCAGAAAGUUCGGAGAGGUUUCUACCAAAUGGGAUCGUCUAUGAAGCAAUCAGCAUUUCUGGCCCAAAGUUCUAGAACUAUUCAGGAUACUUCUGAAGAUGAAGACGACGAAGAUGAUGAGUAUUCGGAAACAACUUCUGAAGAUGAACUCCCGACAUCUACUAUUGAUCAAGAUGCUGCGACGAGGUUGAUUCAAAAAGAUCUUGUUUUGGCACAUCUGCUUCGUUUGGCUUGUGGAGCAAGAGGUCCCUUGCCGAAUACACUUCCAAUUUUGGCCACGCAAUUACAAAACCUCGGUAUUUUGCCUGAGUGGGUGAAGGAUUUGGUGGCUGAUCAAUCUGACAUCUUUGAUGCAACCUUCAAAAGAUCAUUUCCACAACAAGUUACUGAUAUGAAUUACUCGUUGGACAGCUCUAGCCAAGUAGCUGUGAGCCAAUUUUGGGACGUCAGCCCAGAUCUUUUAGGAGCGGGAAAUACAUCAAGCUCUCGCUAUUUAUCUGAUUUUGAGGAGAUCUCUUUGCUGGGAGAAGGAGGUUUUGGACAUGUGGUAUUAUGUGUAAACAAACUAGAUGGUAGACGGUAUGCUAUGAAGAAAAUUCGCCUAAAGGCAAAAACCUUGUCACAAAACAACAAAAUUUUAAGGGAAGUUGCAACACUAGCUCGCUUACAACAUCAACAUGUGGUCCGAUACUACCAGGCCUGGAUAGAGACUGGCUUAGGAUCCGUCUUGGAGAAGUUGAGAAGUGGGUCUGAAACCACCGACAGUGGCAGUGAUUGGCUUGCAAGCGGUAAGUCAGGAAGUGCAGACGCAGGCACUUCAAAGCUUUGGAAUGGUGGGUCAGGGCCUGCUCAUACUACAUAUUUGUACAUUCAAAUGGAGUACUGUCCAAGAACUUUGCGAGAGGUUUUUAGUUCGUACGAAGGGCCGGUAGACAAAGAGGCAACGUGGCGGAUGUUUCGCCAGAUUGUGGAAGGAUUGGCUCAUAUUCAUAGCCGAGGCAUCAUACAUCGGGAUUUGACUCCUAACAACAUUUUUUUUGAUGCGCGUAACGAUAUCAAAAUUGGUGACUUUGGUCUUGCCAAGUUUGCAAAUUUGGAGCAGCCAGACGUAGACACGAAUCUAUUGGCUUCCAUAGCGAAGACUAGUGGCUCACUUGAAGGCACUGGAGCUGUUGGUACAUACUUCUAUACAGCUCCUGAAAUCGUGCAAGGGUGGCCUCACAUUGAUGAAAAGGUGGAUAUGUACAGCCUAGGGGUUGUGUUAUUUGAGCUCUGGUAUCAGUUCACAACUGCUAUGGAGCGGUAUAUUAUACUGAAUGACUUUAAAAGUAAAGGUACAUUGCCAUCUACAUGGUCUGUAGAAUUUGAGUGCCAAGCUAAGCUAGUGAAGUGGCUGACGGCUGCUCAGCCAUCUGAAAGACCAUCAGCUGUUCAGCUUUUACGGAGUGAACUCAUACCUCCUCGUAUGCAAGAUGAAGCAUUGAACGAUAUUUUACGAACAAUUCAAAAUGCUGAGGACACAACUGUAUACGAUCAAGUUGUAGCGGCAAUAUUUGAUGAUGACCGUUUGAAAGAAAAAGCUGAACUGGCUGACCGACAACGAGGAACGUCAAAGCCUCACUGUCCUCCUGGCAAGAAGGUCGGAGUUCAGGAAUGGGUCGUUGAGUGUGUAAAAGAGGUAUUUACACUGCAUGGAGCUCGGCCUUUGGAGAGUCCAGAAAUCUCAGUUUUGGAUGAUCCUAAGCAUAUCAAUCGGCUUGCUGUGAAAUUGUUGGAUUCAUCUGGCGACGUACUCCAGUUACGUUAUGAGACUCGUUCGUCUUUUGCUUCUUGGGUUGCUGCAAAUCAGCCAACAUCACUGAAGCGAUUCCAAAUUGCCCAAGUUUAUCGGCGUGGGUUUGGGAACAGUGCUCCCCAAGGCUUUUUCCAGGGAGACUUUGAUAUCGUUGGUGGUGUUCGCUCUUUAGCAGAAGCAGAAGCAAUUAAGGUUGCAACCGAAGUUGUAUCCAAGUUUUCAACCUUGGAGUUACAUGAAGUGCGCGUGAAUCACAGGCAAUUGUUGAAUGCCAUUUGGACCUGGGCAGGUGUGAAGCCCAAUGAAAGAAAGAAGAUUGCCCAGGUUCUCUCUACGAUGGAUGCUACAUCACCUGGAUCAACUGAACGCAAAGGUCGCUGGCCUCUUGUUCGCAGACAUCUUUUACAGGAUCUGGAAGUGGCCGAGAUAGUGGUGGAUAAGUUGCAGACAGUGGAGCGCCGCUUUCUUAGUGGCACUGCUGAUGAUGCUCUUGCCCGGCUACGAGGAGCUCUACCUUCCAGUUCUGUAACAUCAGCUGCUUUUGAUGAACUAUCUAUGCUUCUUGGGUUUUUAAGAGUUUGGGGACUUGAGAAGGUCGUGACUAUUGAUGCUUUGAUGUCACCCACAGAGGAGUACUUUGAUGCGAGCUAUUUUCAGAUACAUGUCCAGAAGGCGUCCUUCUCAGCACGGAACGCAAUGAAGCCUCUUUGCUUAGCAGUGGGUGGCUGUUAUGAUCGUCUCCUUCAUAAAUACUGGACACCAAACUUGGCAUAUGGUGCACCAGGCAUGGUAGGUCUGAGUAUCGCAGUGCAAAAGUUGAUUUCUAUCGCAAUGGCAGAGAGGAAACCUGAAACGGUCACGGAUGUCCUGGUCUGCAGUCGUGGUGGAGGUGGACUUUUAGCAGAACGAAUGCAAGUUGUGGCUGAAUUGUGGGCAGCUAACAUUAAGGCCGAGUAUAUGUGCUCCUCAGCACCAAGUCUAACAGAGCAGUAUGAAUACGCACAUGAACAUGGCAUCAAGAGGUUGGUAAUUAUUACUGAGGCAGAUUUGACUCUAAGGCAAAUUGUGAAGGUCCGGCACUUGGACCUGAAAAUUGAAGAGGAGGUGUACCUUGAAGAGCUGGUGAUGCAUCUCACUGAAAAAUUGUUGACCCCGAUUGGCCUGCAGAAACGAUCUACUCAGCGCCACAGCCUAUAUUGAGAUUGAUCUUGUGUUAUUUGGAUAUGCACCAGAAAUUUCAGUCAUGCGGGUGGAGGUUUUCUCGUCUUUGAGAUACUUUCAGUGAAGCAUACACUCACAAGUCUCGAGUGAUGAGGAAAGUCAGAGAAGCAUAACAAAUAUUUGAUAAUAAAUACCAAGUACUUCCACAUCUCGGAAAGGUAUUUUGAAAGCUCAUUAGGUCGUCUUAUUCCUAAUGUGGGGAAAGUAUGACGACAUGUAGGACAUAUGCAGUAGAGGUCACGAAUAUUUGAGCGCAUAACUGAGAUGGUUUCAUAGUGAGAAUAUGCCUCAUUAUGAGCGUGAAACAGGUUACAGCUUAUCUUUUUUGUUCUGUUAGUAAAGGUAGUAAGGGUUGUUUCUCCUCUACUCACGUGUACAUGAACACCAGAUUUUUGUUAGAUAGUGAAGUGCUAUUGAUAAUAUUGUGCAUCACCAAAGAAUUUGAAUUUACACCAGCAGGUGUCUCUCUUUGGUCUUGAGUGCUUUAACUUCUCAAGAAUCCUAAGACAGCAUAAAAAUCCACCGAAGUGGGGAGAAAUAAUUUGGGGCGGAGUCUGCAAAUGCUGCUCUACCCUCAGUAUAACAUCUCAUACCGGAAUCAAAUUCGGUGGAUUAUCGAAGAGACUAGCAAGGGAAGGUUUAUGAAGUUGCGCAUUGUAGUCGUGCGCCAAAGUGGAUCAAGCUAAAUUCUUGCUGAUGGAGGGCGCUAAACUGCACGCGCAAGUUGUACAUAAAGACAAAGAAUCGACAGCCUAUGAAGAAAGACAUACGGAAGUAGACUAAAGCCAGUUGUCUUGGGAAUCAUCUGCACGGCGACCUGUAAUUAUGGCAUGCAAGCAUGGGUGUCACACGUUUUGGUAUUUUACCGUAGCGAAGACCGACGUUACCUGUUACUACGACCAUGGAGAUGGACGGCUGAGAGACUGGGUACUCUUCUAGUACCUCGCCUGUUUUUGACACUGCUUAAUGGUUCCUCUGAGUGUGAGGACGAGGAUUUGGAGACCGAUUUCUCUGUAUCAGAAGGUUUCCUUGAUAAUGGUCUCUCUCUGAUCAAGGUGGAGCUCUAGAAGGUCCUUUCUUAUUGUAAGUAAGUGAUGAGUGCGGCGUCAGUCUCCUUCCAAUGCUUCUGUGCAGUUGCAGCUUGUGCUCGAAUUCAACGAAGCAGAAGCCCUACGCACCGUUUGAUAGAAUGGAAUCCAGAGCCUGGUAAUGUCCACUAGCCUAUCUUGGCCAAGCCCAGUAUGUCGAUCGUUUCUGAGCGUCUGAUUGUCACUGUAGCUAUUGGUGGUUUUAGUCAUACUUUUCUUGGUUCCGUUCGGUGGAGUUCUAGUUCUGGUGAGUUUUUGGAGGAGCUGAUCGAAUUCAUGCCAUUUAUUAAACCAUUUUCCCGAAA